rnacentral:rRNA from 1 species
UGGGGAAUUUUGGACAAUGGGCGAAAGCCUGAUCCAGCAAUGCCGCGUGUGUGAAGAAGGCCUUCGGGUUGUAAAGCACUUUUGUCCGGAAAGAAAUCCUUGGCUCUAAUACAGUCGGGAGAUGACGGUACCGGAAGAAUAAGCACCGGCUAACUACGUGCCAGCAGCCGCGGUAAUACGUAGGGUGCAAGCGUUAAUCGGAAUUACUGGGCGUAAAGCGUGCGCAGGCGGUUUGCUAAGACCGAUGUGAAAAUCCCCGGGCUCAACCUGGGAACUGCAUUGGUGACUGGGCAGGCUAGAGUAUGGCAGAGGGGGGUAGAAUUCCACGUGUAGCAGUGAAAUGCGUAGAGAUGUGGAGGAAUACCGAUGGCGAAGGCAGCCCCCUGGGCCAAUACUGACGCUCAUGCACGAAAGCGCGGGGAGCAAAACAGGAUUAGAUACCCUGGUAGUCCAGCGCCCUAAAACGAUGUCAACUAGUUGUUGGGGAUUCAUUUUCCUUAGUAACGUAGCUAACGCGUGAAGUUGACCGCCUGGGGAGUACGGUCGCAAGAUUAAAACUCAAAUGAAUUGACGGGGUCAUAGCUGUUUCCU